UGCAAGUCGAGCGGUAGCACAGAGAGCUUGCUCUCGGGUGACGAGCGGCGGACGGGUGAGUAAUGUCUGGGAAACUGCCUGAUGGAGGGGGAUAACUACUGGAAACGGUAGCUAAUACCGCAUAAUGUCGCAAGACCAAAGUGGGGGACCUUCGGGCCUCAUGCCAUCAGAUGUGCCCAGAUGGGAUUAGCUAGUAGGUGGGGUAACGGCUCACCUAGGCGACGAUCCCUAGCUGGUCUGAGAGGAUGACCAGCCACACUGGAACUGAGACACGGUCCAGACUCCUACGGGAGGCAGCAGUGGGGAAUAUUGCACAAUGGGCGCAAGCCUGAUGCAGCCAUGCCGCGUGUGUGAAGAAGGCCUUCGGGUUGUAAAGCACUUUCAGCGGGGAGGAAGGCGUUGAGGUUAAUAACCUUGUCGAUUGACGUUACCCGCAGAAGAAGCACCGGCUAACUCCGUGCCAGCAGCCGCGGUAAUACGGAGGGUGCAAGCGUUAAUCGGAAUUACUGGGCGUAAAGCGCACGCAGGCGGUCUGUCAAGUCGGAUGUGAAAUCCCCGGGCUCAACCUGGGAACUGCAUUCGAAACUGGCAGGCUAGAGUCUUGUAGAGGGGGGUAGAAUUCCAGGUGUAGCGGUGAAAUGCGUAGAGAUCUGGAGGAAUACCGGUGGCGAAGGCGGCCCCCUGGACAAAGACUGACGCUCAGGUGCGAAAGCGUGGGGAGCAAACAGGAUUAGAUACCCUGGUAGUCCACGCCGUAAACGAUGUCGAUUUGGAGGUUGUGCCCUUGAGGCGUGGCUUCCGGAGCUAACGCGUUAAAUCGACCGCCUGGGGAGUACGGCCGCAAGGUAAAACUCAAAUGAAUUGACGGGGCCCGCACAGCGGUGGAGCAUGUGGUUAAUUCGAUGCACGCGAAAACCUUACCUGGUCUUGACUCC
rnacentral:rRNA from 1 species